rnacentral:rRNA from 1 species
GAUGAACGCUGGCGGCGUGCCUAAUACAUGCAAGUCGAGCGAACAGAUGAGGAGCUUGCUCCUCUGACGUUAGCGGCGGACGGGUGAGUAACACUUGGAUAACCUACCUAUAAGACUGGGAUAACUUCGGGAAACCGGAGCUAAUACCGGACAAUAUAUUGAACCGCAUGGUUCAAUAGUGAAAGACGGUUUUGCUGUCACUUAUAGAUGGAUCCGCGCCGCAUUUGCUAGUUGGUAAGGUAACGGCUUACUAAGGCAACGAUUCGUAGCCGACCUGAGAGGGUGAUCGGCCACACUGGAACUGAGACACGGUCCAGACUCCUACGGGAGGCAGCAGUAGGGAAUCUUGCGCAAAGGGCGAAAGCCUGACGGAGCAACGCCGCGUGAGUGAUGAAGGUCUUCGGAUCGUAAAACUCUGUUAUUAGGGAAGAACAAAUGUGUAAGUAACGAUGCACGUCUUGACGGUACCUAAUCAGAAAGCCACGGCUAACUACGUG